rnacentral:sRNA from 1 species
AUCAGUGAUAAGCGGAGGUGAGGGUCCCCAUCCUCGCCUGGGUCAGCUUUUACCUGAGUAACCCCUCCUCACCCACCUACCCUGGGCACAGGGGCCAGUACCAACUUCAUUUGGAAAACGCAGAGGAGGCUCACAAACACUGCCUGCCUCCCCAGUAGGGAUGAUCAAGCGUUUCCUGGAGGACACCACGGAUGAUGGAGAACUGAGCAAGUUCGUGAAGGAUUUCUCAGGAAAUGAGAGCUGCCACCCACCAGAGGCUAAGACCCGGGCAUCCAGGCCCCAAGUCCCGGAGCCAAGGCCCCAGGCCCCGGACCUCUAUGAUGAUGACCUGGAGUUCAGACCCCCCUCGUGGCCCCAGUCCUCUGACAACCAGCAGUACUUCUGUGCCCCAGCCCCUCUCAGCCCAUCUGCCAGGCCCCGCAGCCCAUGGGGCAAGCUUGAUCCCUAUGAUUCCUCUGAGGUAGAGCCUCCAGCCCUGCCUUUGCCUUUCAGUGGGCUGCUGCAGGAAGACCAGGGGGCAGGGAGCAGAGUGUGAGUGUGUGUGUG